CCGGCCGCCCCAGGGGAACUCGCAAAGUUUCGGAUCCGCAAGGACCGGGCCAGCGGACGUCCGCGUGGCAGGGUGCACUUUCUCCGCGGUCGAGUGCUACGACCGGUUUCGCGGCGGUCAGAAGCCCGGCGGAAAGGUAGCGCCGCCCCUCGGGGUGUCGUGUUAUAGGCCGCCGCGGUGGACUCGCCGCGAGACCGAGGACGCUUGCCGCGCCGAGCGGUCCCGGGCCGUCUUGGGAGGUUCGACCUCGGCUGCACUGCUCCGCAGAGCACCGUAACCGCCGCCCUAGCACGGGUCCGGAGACUGCCGGCGCCUCGGGUCAGUAGCG
rnacentral:rRNA from 1 species